GAUGAACGCUAGCUACAGGCUUAACACAUGCAAGUCGAGGGGCAGCAUGACGAUAGCUUGCUAUUGUUGAUGGCGACCGGCGCACGGGUGAGUAACGCGUAUCCAACCUGCCCUUGUCCACCGGAUAACCCGUCGAAAGGCGGACUAACACGGUAUGCAGUCCACAGCAGACAUCUAACGUGGACGAAAUGUGAAGGAGAAGGAUGGGGAUGCGUCUGAUUAGCUUGUUGGCGGGGUAACGGCCCACCAAGGCGACGAUCAGUAGGGGUUCUGAGAGGAAGGUCCCCCACAUUGGAACUGAUACACGGUCCAAACUCCUACGGGAGGCAGCAGUAGGGAAUAUUGGUCAAUGGGCGAGAGCCUGAACCAGCCAAGUAGCGUGCAGGAAGACGGCCCUAUGGGUUGUAAACUGCUUUUAUACGGGGAUAAAGUGAGUCACGUGUGGCUUAUUGCAGGUACCGUAUGAAUAAGGACCGGCUAAUUCCGUGCCAGCCGCCGCCGUAA
rnacentral:rRNA from 1 species